rnacentral:rRNA from 1 species
UACGUAGGGGGCAAGCGUUGUCCGGAAUCAUUGGGUCGUAAAGCGCGUGUGAGGCGGUCCGGUUAGUCGGACUGUGGAAGUCAAGGGCUCAACCCCUUGAAUGCCGGUCGAUACUGCCGGACUAGAGUCCGGAAGAGGCAAGUGGAAUUCCCGGUGUAGCGGUGAAAUGACGCAGAUAUCGGGAGGAACACCGGUGGCCGAAGGCGGGUC